rnacentral:pre_miRNA from 2 species
UUUACAGAGUUUUUUUGGCAUUCUGUCCACCUCCACUUCCUCUCUCUCUCUCUCUCUCACUGUAGCUUUGCUGUAGGAGGUGGGCAUACUGCCAACAGACCACUGUUAG